GGAUCUGAUCCGUUAUUUUGAUCCACCCAUUGCCUUUAAUAUAAAACCCAUAUUAUAAACAUUUCCCCCAAUUCCCAAACCCUAGACCCAACCUCAGAAGCAGCGCACCCUACUGCUCCUUCAUCAUCUUCCUCUUCAACUCGCCUUAACUCGUUUUCGAGUUCACUCACAUGGUCCCCUCUCCUCCACGUCACCUUCAUUCCCAACGGAUUUGUCAGAAGAGUACGAAUAUUCCCUCAAAAUCGCAUGAUUUCGGGUACGAAAGGACGAUUUGCUAGAUGAAUAUGAUCCGUGGAUAGAUGUAAAUCGAUCCACGCCUUCCAUUUGUCCCAAAAUUGUUCAAAAAAAACUCGAAGAUUUUCUGAUUUUUGGGCAGAUUUUUGAGAUUUUUCGAAGGCUAUAUAUAUGAGAUAAGUUCUUUGUGCUAGGUUAGAGGAAAACCGACAAAAAAAAUCUUCAGAAAAAAUUUGAGUCAAGUUCCUAGGGUUUGAAGUCAUCAUUUUCUUCAAGCCAUUUUUUCUUCAGUCUGCUUUUUUUUUAGAAAAAAUAUAAAAAAAUAAAACAAUAUGGUCUAAGUUCGAUUUUGAUCCAAGCUUUUAGUUCAUUUUCGGAGGAAAAAUCAGAGACAAUUUUCGGGAUUUGGUAGUGGAAUUUCUAGUUCUCAAAGUUGGGGAUGUGCUGUUGAUUCCUGUCGAUUUUUGCCAUUGAUUUUGCGUUGGCUGGGGUCGAUUCAUAUUUUUCUGUCAUUAUUUGGUUGCUGCAACUUCCUUUCAAGUAUUAGACAUCUAUUUUCUUCUGUGCGUUUUGUUGUAACCAGGUAUUGCGUUUGGCUCAAAAAUGUAAAUAUUAUAUUUUUGAUAACGAAAAUCACGUGGGUGUAUCUCUGUUUAAAUUUGCCUAAAAAUUCUGUGAGUUUGUAUAGAUAUCCAUUUCGUUUGAAUGCUGUAAUGCUGCUGAAAUGCUUAUUUCUUGUAUGAGAUUCUUGUUUGGAGUGUUGUCUGUUAAUUGUUGUUGAGAUGAGAUGGAAUCAAGUUAACAUUAGCUAAAAAAUGUUGUAAUAUCUACUUGGCCAUCAUGUUAAAUUCUAGCCAUGUAUACGUAAAAUCUGAUAUUGUUUGUCAUAUGAUGUACAAUUUUAUUGUUUAAUUCAUAUUAUAAGUAGCAACUCAAGUGGAAGGAUCUGAGGCUCUUUCUUUGUUAAUUUUUUUCUAAAUGAAGAUGAACUUCACUUGUUAAUUUGAAACACUUCCUUAUAGAAACUGAGUAUCCUAUUGAUAACAAUUAUAUCUUUUUGUUAGAAAUUUCAUCGAUUUAGUCAUAAAGGCCUAAAAGGAUACAAUUGCUUUCAUCUAUUUAGUCAUGAAGGUUGUGUUGCUACUGUAUCUUUGCUCUCUACAUGUGGAGUAGUUAUUUUUGGAGAAUGAUUUUUUGCAAGUGUAUUCCAGGCCAAAAAGCAGUAUGGUCCCGAUGUAUUUUUUUGCAGAUUUGGAUUGUGUUAGUUGUUAAAAUAAUACUCUGGAACAUUGACUUGUAAAAAUGCUAAAAAAUGGAAAAAUAGUCCGGAAGCAAAGAACAAUGAGAUUUUUUUCUUUCCGAGGAUUUGUGAUGAUUCAGAGUUUGAAUAGGGAAUAGUAAUUGAACAUAUUUGUAAUUUUUUUGGCCUUUAAUACCUUUCUUGGUUUUGUGUGUCAGUUUGAUUUCAUGGAUAGAUCAAUGAUUUGUAAAAAAUUAAAUUUGUGCUUCGUGCCAGGUGGCCCAUCCUUCCAUAUUCUGUCCAGAUCCAUUAAGAAAUUAAUUAACCAAUCCAGAUUUCUUGGUGUCACGACCCUAAACUUGAACCCGAUCGUGAUGGCGUCACUCGUGAAGACAAGGCCAGCCAAUUAAACCCAAUUCACUUUUUAAACAGUUAAAUAACAUAAAGGUAGCCUAAAACAUGAUAUAGCAAUAUUAAGUAGCGAAUAAUGCCAAUAAAGUGCGGAAGUACAACCCAAUACAACCCUAAUCGGGGUGUCGCUAGUCACGAGCAUCUAUAGCCAUAAUACAAGUCUGCUAAAGUCAUAACUACUACAAGUGUUUGAAAAGGAACAUAAAUGAUAGAGGAGUAGAGGCACGGGGCUGCAGACGUUAGCAGCUGCCUCGUAAUCUCCGAAAACCCGCCUGAAGCUGGAGGGAUCAGCACUCAGGAGCGGUUCCAGCUACGCCUGAAUCUGCACACAGGGGUGUAGGGAGUAAAGUGAGUACUCCAACUCAGUGAGUAACAAAUGUAAAUAAUGACUGAAAGUAAGAAAAUACGUAAGGCACAAGGCAUUCUAUAAUGAAGUAGUAAAACCAUUUAAAAGCAGUAAAACAGUAGAAAGUCAAGUAAAAAAUCCUCUUUCAACAAGUAAACAAGUAAUUGACAGGUAAUUAAGUUAACGUAAACAAAUAGAAGUUCGCCCUUCGGGCACAAUAUCAACAAAUCCGCCCCUCGGGCAAUAUCUCAGAACUAUACCAGCCCCUCGGGCAAUCACAUAGAACAAUACCGGCCCCUCGGGCUCAAUCUCACAUCACAAUGGGUACCCACGCUCACUGGGGGUGUACAGACUUCAGGAGGGGCCCCUUACGGCCCAAGCACAAUAACAAGCCGUCUCGUGGCAUCAAAACUAGGCCCUCGGCCUCAUAUCAAUCAAGCCACCUCGUUGCGCAUAUAUCUCAGGCCCUCGGCCGCAAAUCAGUAUCAGUGUUUCCUCACAACUAGGCCCUCGGCCCUAUUCAGCCAAAAAUACUCACAAGCCCCUCAACAAUAGUAAACAGUGUUUCUCAGCCCAAAUAUCAUUUAAAAUAUCAUUAUAUCUUAAAACUGAGUAAACAUGGCUGAGUAUGAAAACAAUGAAAAAUAACAGGAUUGAGUUUAAGUGUAAAGUCAAAACAGUGAGGAAAUAUCAAUAAAAAUUCCCGAAGGGUUCAAAUAGUUGGCACUAGGCCCAAAUAUGGCAUUCAACCCAAAUAAUGAUGAUAGAAAAUAGUUUUCAAUCAAUACGCAGUAAAAUCAUCAAUCGGGACGGACCAAGUCACAAUUCCCAAUAGUGUACGACCCCACGCUCGUCAUCGAGCGUGUGCCUCACCUCAAUAUAGCACUACGAUGUGCAAAUCCGGGGUCUCAAACCCUCAGAGCAUCAUUUACAAUCAUUACUCACCUCGAACCGGCUAAAUCUCUAGCUCGCGAUGCCUUUUCCCCUCAAAUUGGCCUCCACGCGCAUCGAAUCUAUCCAAAACCAGAACGAAUACGUCAAAAUAUGCUAAGGGAACAAAGCCCAAGCCAAAACAAUAGAAAAAUAUCAAAAAUCCCGAAAUUGGCCAAAACCCGAGCCCCGCGCCCACUUCUUGAAACUCAAAGAUAUUUACAUCAACGGGUUCCUUAUCUCCCCACGAGUUCAUACAUAUCAAAAGUUCUCAAAUUCGACCCCAAAUGGUCCUCCAAAUCCCCAAUCAAAAGUCCAAAAUUCCAAGCCCUAGUUCUUCCAUUUUUAGCUUAAAUUCCAUGAUUUUCUAAGUGGAUUUCACAAUAUAAUUGAGUUUUUAGUCCAAGAAUCUUACCUUCCAACGAUUCCCCUUGAAUUCCUCUUCAAUCUCCUUCAAAAAUAUCUCAAAAAUGAGUAUCUAUGUGUGAAAAUAGACCCACCUUCGCGAACAAAACGAGUUUAAAAACAUUCUGCCCAGGCCUCAUCUCCUUCUAUGCGAUCGCGGAAAAACCUUCGCGAUCGCGAAGCACAAAAAUCUCAACUCUCAAAUUUACCCUAUGCGAUAGCAUCCAAGCCCCUGCGAUCGCAAUGCCUGAGCUCCUGACCCUAUGCAAUCGCGGGCUUACUCCCGCGUUUGCAUUGAACAAAGACCAGCCAAGCCCCCAGGUCUAUUUAACACUAUGUGAUCGCGACCCAUUACCCGCUUUCGCGAUGAACAAACUCCCCAAUCAAUGCGAUCGCAAGCCUCACUAUGCGAACAUGAAGAACAACUUGACAGCUCCCUCAAAUCCUUCUAUGCGAUCGCAGGACCCUAUGCGAUCGCAUAGAGCAAAGUUCUGCAAUAGCUGAACCUGCAAAUUCUGCAAUCAUCCAAGGCACGAAAUGGUCUUAUUGACCAUCCGAAACUCAACCGAGGCCUCCGGGACCUCAACCAAAGGCAACAACACAUCCUAAAACCUCAUUCAAACUUGUUCCAUUCAUCAAAACACCUCAAACAAUAUCAAAUCACCUAAAACACAUCGGAUUCAAGCCUAAGCUUCUAAAAUCUUCCGAAAUACGUUUUUGAUCAAAAACCCAACUAAACCACAUCCGAAUGACCUGAAAUUUUACAGACACAUCCCAAAUGACACAACGAAGCUACUGCAACUCUCGGAAUUCCUUUCCGUCACCUAUAUCAAAAUCUCGCCUAUCAACCGGAAAUCGCCAAAAUAUCAACUUCGUCAUUUCGAGCCUAAAUCUUCUCUACACAUCUAAAAGCCAUUCCAAUUGUUAGCACGUAAUUUUUGAACUAUAUGAAUUAUUCCAAUAAAUUCAAAACAAAAUAAUUUCUUAGUGUUUGCAAUUUUGUUGGAUUUCGUGGCAUUUUCUGUUAAUUAUUUGCAUUUGUCUGUGCACGUUUAUUUUAUUUAAUACAUGAAAAAUACAAAAAGAUGUUGCAUCUGCAUUUAGGAUUUAAUUUUAUAUUUUUAGAUUAAUUGGCAAAUUAGUUUGUUUAAUAAAAAAUAAAAAUCACAAAAAUAAUUCAUUUUGCAUUUUUACUUAUUAAUUUUGAAUUGGAUAAUUUUUCUUUAAAUUUAGGAUUUAAUUAAUACAAUUUUGAGUGAUUAAUCUAAUUGGGUAGGUUAAUUUAGUUUAAAAAAUUAUUAUUAGUUAAUUUAGGGUUUAUUUUAAUUUUGAAAAGAAAAGAAUUUGAAAUUGAAAAAGAAAAAGAAAAGAAAUAAAGGAAAUCCUAAUUUGGAUUGUUACAAUUGGUUUUACCCAGGCCCAAGUGUUAAACACCCGGUACCCGACCAAAUCAUCCCAAACCCACCUUUAACCCGGUCUCUUUCCCCACUAAACCAAACGACCCCGUUUUGAAAGCUCGACAGAUCUGGGCCGUUGAUUUUGUUCAAUCCAACGGACGGGAACUGAGGGUGUGCUUAAUAUUUAAGUGUCAGAACCCUCAAACCCUACCCCCCUCUCUCAUCUCCUUCAUCAGACCCUCUUCAUCCUCGCCGGAACCGCUGGCCGGAAAUCGUCUCCGCCGGCGGCGGUGCUCCAAUCGACCCCAAAUUUACACCAAAUGUUCCCCUCCACCACCCCGUCCCAAAUCUCUGUUCAAUUUCCUUCAAAUAUACCCAGAACCUCUCGAAUCACCUAGCGCCGCCACAGUUUCUCCAGUGGAGGCGCCGCCUCCGUUCAACCCCAAAUUAACACCCUAGGACCGUCAUCUCUCCCUUAUCCCAAAUCUUCACUCAGAUUUCUUCAAACAUCUCCGAAAUGUGUCGAAUGUCAAAUCGAAGAGUCGAGCCAUGAGAGCCUAAGGUCGGAAUUAUGCAUGCAAGCCUUUUCAGGAAUCUUCCAGUUGUUUCGAGUCGAUUUUGACACAAAAUAGUGACACUCGUUUGUUCAUCACCAAGAACAAAUGUUUGUCGCUGUGUUGGGUCGAAUCAGUGCCUCAGUUUUUAAUUUCAAGUCUAGCCGAUAAGUCCCGUUCAUCUUUGUUUUCAAAAUCGUCUGCGUGUCACCUCUGUUCCUUUCCUCUCUUUUAAUUUGUUUUCUGAUUUAUUAACUGUCCCGUUAAAGUUUUUGGUUUGGUCACUAAACUCGAUUAGUUAGCUUAAUUAGUUCCCCGCCUGUUGGUGAUCAUUAAUUAGUUGAUUUGUUUGGUUUUUAAGUUUUCUGAAUUUGUUUGGGUUUAAUCUUUGGGCUCUGAGGUCAGUCUAAGACCUCACGUUAAAGGAAUUCUAUUUGAUUUAAGAUUGAGCCCAUGUCUAUUUAAUCAUUGAGCCUGUUCGGGGAUUCACAGCCCAUGUUCAAGUCUGGCUGGGUUUUUAAGGUAAAAUACAGGGGUAAUAGGGGUAAAUUGUGUAGGUCACUUAAGGGAAUCUUGCUAUAACAGACUAGGAAGCUUCUAGGAAGCUGAGGUAGGGGUUGGUUCUGAUUUUCUGUUUUUUAAAAGGGUAUCUGAGCUAUAAUAAAAAUAAAAAGAGGGCAAAGUGCAAAAUUAAGGCUGCCCUAAUAGCUUGCCUAUAAAGGCAGCUUUUCUUGCCUUUCAAGGCAGCCCCAAGAGAACUUUAGAGGAAAAAAAUACAAAAAUUGAAGAAAACAACUGAAAAUUCUGAAAAAAAUAACACUGAAUUCCCUGCAUUUCAUUGUCGAAACUGCUCAAAAUUUUUGCUUGGUUUUGGUUUUCUGAUCUUCAUUGUUUAGUUUAAAACUACUGAAAAUACCAAAGUCUUGCACCUGGGUUGAAAUGGAUUGAAUUUUGGAUCUUUAGAAGUUUGGGUUUGCGUUUUGCUGUUACUGUUAUAUUGUUGAUCACUGCUACUGCUGUUUCCUCCUAAUCUCAAGCUAAAUUUCUGAUUCUUUUGUUGUAUUCAGGUACACAUUUCUGAGUUCUAUCUAAUGUGACGCCUUAUUCAAAGAUGAAAUGAAAAUCUGGAGUUUUGAGGAUAAUGUCACCUUGUUUUGCUCAUAGUUUUAGCUUUAUUUUGUUUAAUUGCAUUAUUUUGGAACCGUAUAGUGCAUUGUAUUCUGCUGGUUAUUGAUAAGUACCCUUCUGAGAGCUGAAUUUGGUUUGUGACUAGUGGGUGAUUUCAUUUUCUAGCAAAUAUCUCAUAGCUAAAUGUUGGUUUUGGGCAGUUGAACUCCUAUCCCUGAAUCUGAUCCUAGACUAUCAUAGAAACUUGAUGAAUAACUUGUUUAGUC
rnacentral:lncRNA from 1 species